GGGGAAUUGUGAUGCCUUUGGGGAGGAAUGUAGCUGUUUGCACUUUAUUUUAUUCUUGUAAUUGGAGUGCUGUGUCCCUGGAGCUGGGGAGAGAUUAUUCUUUUUCUUGCCUCUGAACUUUCAGUACUGAAAGUCCACAGUGAACUCUCUCUGGUGCCUCCUGUUCUCCAGCCUGAACAACCCCAGCUUCCUAAGCCUGUCUGCACAAAAGAGCUCCAGCCCCACUGAUCAUUCCUGUGGCUCUCCUCUGGACCCACUUCAACUGGUCUUUGUCCCUUCUGUUCUGGGAGCCACAGAGCUGAAUGUAAUACUGCAGUCUGCAGGGAUGAAGCUCUCACUGUCAUGGCAUAUGAAUACAAAAGAAAAGGCUAAACUUAAUGAAUGGCACCAGUGUUUACAGCCACAGGGUUUCCACAGCACUGAGAGGGACAAGUUGGACAUGAGGAAGAAUUUCUACUCAGAAGAAGAGAAGCUGGCAGUCCGUGGCUUGGACAGGAACACUCUUGGCUGGGCAUGAACAUACAAUUCUUAGAACAUCUUGAGGAAUCUCUGUGCGGAUAUUGUGAGGUAUUUGAUCUGCAGCAUGCAACACCAGCUGGCUGUGAGCUGCAGUGCUUCCAGACCAGACUUGCUCUCCAGUAGGACAAUGAGAAAGGCAGGUGGACCGGAUGCACAGCUGUUUGCACCUGGCUGUCUAGACGUGAUCUUCUCAUGAGCUCUUAUCUGUGUUGAUAGCAUCCACUGCCCUUCAAAGGGUCUCUUUGAAGACCACAGCUUUCUUAUAUUUUUUCUUUAUUUGUUUAUAGUGUGAUCUCAGAGCAUAAAAGGAUAACUGAAAUUUUCUUUUUGGUCACAAUGUAACUUGUAACAGCAUAGCGAAAGGGAAAGGCUUUACUGACUGUUUAGCCUCUCCAUUCUCUGUGUUGCAAAACCUUCAUGGUUAUGGACUGAAAGAUUCAGAACUAAACAAAUCAGCCAUAUCUCACAGUUAUGCUCCCUUGUCUGUGUGAAGCUUAUGUAAUUCAGAUCCUUCUUUGGGAAGGCAGGCCAGGCCUUGUCCUAAUCCAGAGGAAUUGGAUUUAAUCUGGUGCCUUUUGCACCUCUCCUUGCUUCAGGAAGAAUACCUGUGAUUAAGGUUACUGUAAGCAUCCACAAGCUCUAGUCAUGCGCAGCACAUUCUGCUUUUCUUUCAAAUAUGCACC
ensembl:lncRNA